ensembl:lncRNA
CCUAAAUCAGAGCUUCUCCACUAUUUGCUGACUGUCCACGAGCAUCCUGUUUACACCAUUUUCAAAAGGCUGUGAGAAAAUGAAAAAACCGUUUUCAGAAACAACAUGUAUGCUUGCAUUUUGAUUGAUUGAUUUUUUUAUCACUACAAUGUGUGUUAUAAAUAUUUGAUGAAUGCUUGAAAAAAACAUGAAGUCGUGAUAAUGGAAAGAUUGUUUAUGAUGCUUUAAUGUAAUUGUCUUGUUUGCUUGUCUCAGAAAACACUUCUGUGUGUAGAUUAAAGAUAUGUGACACUCUCUGGCUAAUUGCGUAUAGUUCAGACCAGGGGGAGAAGCUACCCAGCCCUUUCUCUGUCACCUCCCUUACUUCAUACAGCUGUUUACAGCCAGUAAUUGGCUUGGGAAACAAUGUUUGGCACAGCUACUGUUCAUAUGUCAACUGUGAGUGAUUUCUUAGCACAAAUAUCACCCAACCUGGCCUACAAAAGCACCAGAACAAACCUGAGUGCUUGUUUAGGCCUAGUUACUUCACGUGCUGGAUUUUGGAUGCUGGAGGGGAGAAGCCAAGUAACUGCGUGUGGCAGUGGAUGCCCACAGUUGAAGCAGUCUGAACAUGGGAGUAUCAACUGAAAAUCUGUUAUUUUCAAAAGAAUUGGAUAGAGACAGAGAGCAUGGAGAAAACACAUACUCCAUGUUAAAAUUAUUUGUUCCUCAAAGUGAGAACUUGUCUAUGAUAGACAGAGGAAUGGUAUAUUUAAAGGAAAUCAAGUGAAAGAUAGAGUGAAGUUUUGAGUUCCCUAUAGACAAGUCUCUUCAGCCUCAAGGACCUCUUUAAGUGCCAAUUACAGAAAAGAGCUUUGCAGUGCUUGUUUCAGGACCUGUGCAAUAGAAAGUGUUUAUUACAACAUGUUUUGUGAAAUGCUCCCUGGGUAAAAUUUGGAAGUCAACUCUGCAAUACAAAGGUAAAAGUUCCCAUUAUGUUUGGAGGAUUUCAUGAAAAGAAUGGAUCUCCCACUGACAAUUUCAAAGACAAAUUUUAAACAAUAUCACGUUUUUGUUUGUUUAUAGUAAAGCUCUUGUCUAAACUUGACAAUUCAGGGUUAUUUUGCCCUGGAGUACUUUUCUUGGCACUAUUCAUGAUCUUUUACAUUCCAAACUAGAUUUUGGAGGAGAGUCAGCGUAUUACUUCAUACAAAAGUUAUUAUUCCAUAUGAAUAAUAGAUUUUCUUUUUUGCCUCAGUCUUCACUGGCAACUGCUCUUCACACACCCCUCAAGCAGAUGGGUUGGAAGGUGGAGGCUGGGGGAGUAACAUCCCUCCCACUGUAAAUGAAGAUCAGGUUCGCGACCUCCUGAGGAACCUGAGCAUCCAUAAGUCUGUGAGUCCCAACGAGAUGCAUCCCAGAGUACUGAGGGAAUUGCCUGAUGUAGUUGCCAAGCCACUCUUGAUAUUUGAAAAGUCAUGGCAGUAAUGUGAAGUUCCUGGUGACUGGAAAAAAGGGAAUAUAGCACUCAUUUUUAAGAAGAGUAUAAAGGAUGACCCAGGAAGCUACUGACCUGUUUGCCUCA